rnacentral:rRNA from 1 species
GACGAACGCUGGCGGCGUGCUUAGCACAUGCAAGUCGAACGGUGAAGCGAGUGCUUGCACUCGUGGAUCAGUGGCGAACGGGUGAGUAACACGUGAGUAACCUGCCCAUCACUCUGGGAUAAGCACUGGAAACGGUGUCUAAUACUGGAUACGACCAACCCUUGCAUGGGGUGUUGGUGGAAAGAUUUAUCGGUGAUGGAUGGACUCGCGGCCUAUCAGCUUGUUGGCGGGGUAAUGGCCCACCAAGGCGACGACGGGUAGCCGGCCUGAGAGGGUGACCGGCCACACUGGGACUGAGACACGGCCCAGACUCCUACGGGAGGCAGCAGUGGGGAAUAUUGCACAAUGGGCGAAAGCCUGAUGCAGCGACGCCGCGUGAGGGAUGACGGCCUUCGGGUUGUAAACCUCUUUCAGCAGGGAAGAAGCGAAAGUGACGGUACCUGCAGAAGAAGCACCGGCUAACUACGUG